rnacentral:rRNA from 1 species
UACGUAGGGUGCAAGCGUUAAUCGGAAUUACUGGGCGUAAAGCGUGCGCAGGCGGUUGUGCAAGACAGAUGUGAAAUCCCCGGGCUUAACCUGGGAAUUGCAUUUGUGACUGCACGGCUAGAGUGUGUCAGAGGGGGGUAGAAUUCCACGUGUAGCAGUGAAAUGCGUAGAUAUGUGGAGGAAUACCGAUGGCGAAGGCAGCCCCCUGGGACUAACACUGACGCUCAUGCACGAAAGCGUGGGGAGUCAAACAGGAU